UCAGACGUCCACUCUGUCCCCGUGUCUGCAGAGCCGUGAAACAGAGCUCCUCGCGGUGCUAGCAGUGGGCACUCGCCCGUAACCACAGAGCUGGGGCUGCGGCCUUUGGGCCACAGCGAGAAGAGGGAGGACACGGAGCCACAGGGUAAGCACAGGACAGGUCCCUGCCUGGCGGCUGCGCACCACAAGACACAGGGACGCCAACUGGACUCCGUUACCGCCGCCUCGACCGGGUACAAGGGGAGGCCGAUUUCCAUGGCGCUUUGUUAAAGCGAACUCUGUAUAAACAGUUCUAUACAAAGAUGUAGCGUAUGACUGCCGGCCGCCCCCUUCAUGCUCAGCGGUCGGGGACCGUCACGGUCCUGGGGCACAGUCUGAUGCAGCCAUUAACAAUGAUGUUUAGGGGUGCCUAACAUCAGUCCCUGGAGCUCAGGCCCUCGAGCAUCUGGCUCUUGAUUUCGGCUCAGGUCAUGACCUCAGGGUCAUGGCAUCGAGCCCCGAGUCGGGCUCCACGCUCAGCAGGGAGUCUGCUUGAGGUUCUCUCUCCCUCUGCCCCUCCCCCAGCUCGCAGGCUCUCUAAAUAAAUAAAUAAAUAA
rnacentral:lncRNA from 1 species